rnacentral:rRNA from 1 species
AAAUUGAAGAGUUUGAUCAUGGCUCAGAUUGAACGCUGGCGGCAGGCCUAACACAUGCAAGUCGAACGGUAACAGGAAGAAGCUUGCUUCUUUGCUGACGAGUGGCGGACGGGUGAGUAAUGUCUGGGAAGCUGCCUGAUGGAGGGGGAUAACUACUGGAAACGGUAGCUAAUACCGCAUAACGUCGCAAGACCAAAGAGGGGGACCUUCGGGCCUCUUGCCAUCGGAUGUGCCCAGAUGGGAUUAGCUAGUAGGUGGGGUAACGGCUCACCUAGGCGACGAUCCCUAGCUGGUCUGAGAGGAUGACCAGCCACACUGGAACUGAGACACGGUCCAGACUCCUACGGGAGGCAGCAGUGGGGAAUAUUGCACAAUGGGCGCAAGCCUGAUGCAGCCAUGCCGCGUGUAUGAAGAAGGCCUUCGGGUUGUAAAGUACUUUCAG